GAGAAAACAAGGAGGCACAGGGGGUUAAGGGCCUGCCUCGGGCGGGCGAGCUGGGGCUGAGCCUGUCGGUCUGGCCCCUUCACCACCGUCUCGUGAACAGUUUCCAUGAUGAAAGCAGAGGCACUGUUGGGUGGAUCCUGCAUCCUGAUAACCCGUCAGCUUCAGUCAUCAAACCCGCGUCCCCUGCUGCUCACCGUCCUCUGUAAACCUCCUCCCAUCUCGUGUUCAUUCAGUGGGAGGCUCAUUCCUUCAGCAAACAUUCCCGGAGCACCAUCGAAGUGUGGGUUCUUAGAACUGUGUCACAGCUCCGAUGGGGAACAGAACAGAACUGCACUCCCCCACGGAGAUUACAGUCCAACUCGGAGAGGCGCACCUGAAGUCACUUGGUAAUAAAUUAAAGGUUGUAACUGCGACAGUGGCUCAGAGGGACAGAGGGGCUGGACUGAGAGUUCGGAGGGUCGAGGGGCACCAGCAGGAAAUGCCUGCGCGAGCUGAGUAGAUGGUGGCGAGGCAGUGGGAUGCAGGGGUCCUCUUGGUGGGAGCCUGGAGCACCAGUGGGGUGGAAUUCACAGAUGGCGCAAGUCGGGACAGUCCCGCUUCCAGUGGGAGGCGUUGGUGGCUCAGUGGCAAUGCUUGUGCCUCUGUCCCCACACUGGACGAAGGCACAAGAUCAUCUGCCUGUGCAGAACCAUUGUUCUGUGAAGACCAGUAACCCAUCUGUGGGCAGCAGGAUGAAAUAUUCCCAGAAAUGUCAAAAUGACACAGACAUGUUCAGCGUUUGCUGUUUCCAGGUCGUGGGGCUGGCAGAACUCCUGGCACCUGUGUUAGUAUAAAAACUGGAGACCCAGGACCAACACCGAGGAGACAUUGCAGCGAUGGCCCAUAGGGGAGGGUGAAUAAUUACCCGGGUGAACAGAGGGGCACACAGCACGCUGGCGGGCGUGCGAGCAGGUGGCCAGGAGGGGCUCUGUCCCUGACGGACGGUCUGGCUGAUGCCGAGGGCUUGAGCGGCCAAGAGCCUCUGCUGAGAAGUCUGCUCCCUCAGAGGGGGGCCGACGGCCCAACCCAGAGCCCAGGAAGCCACGAGCCCCAGGGGCCACAGGUGGGCUCGCUGCAGGUGGGAGCUGCCCGCAGGGAGAGCAUUUGCCCGCCGCCCAGCCUCCUCCUCUCCCACCCGGUCCCCCCCCACCCCAUCAUCAACCCCCUUUAUCUUACAGCUCGGGAGGUCAGGGUCCUACUAGGUGUUGGCAGGGGAGGGUUCCUUCUGGCGCCCAGAGGAGAAUCCACGUCUUUGUUUUUUCUAGCUCUAGAGGCUGCCUGCACGCCCAACAGGCAGGACCCACAGCAGGCGGCCAGUAGGGGAGCAGAGUGGGGCCCCAGGGCUGUGCAGGGCCGGACCUGCGGGCGGGAAGGAGGACGCAAAUCUACAGCCUUCCAGAGCCCCCAGGCCCGGAGCUGAGAUGCGCCUGAGCUCAGGGCGUGGCCUGCCAGUCUCCAGGGUCAAGGCUGGCAGCAAGCAUCUAAGUGUCUAGUAUGUACCAGGCACUGUCCUGGGAGCCGGGAUGCGUUGGUGAACAAAAGAGAAAAAAGAAACUUCUGCCCUGGUGAAGCUUACAUCCUGGGCUGCCUACACAUCAGACCCAUGGGUCACAGAGACGAGAGACCCCAGCUGUGCACAAAACCUCACCAAGUCCCAACCAAGUAGCUACACUGGGGACCCUCCACUGUCCUCCACAGCUCCGGACACGUGUACUGAGACCCCCACCAGGUGGGAGAAGUUAACGGUUAAUGGCAUGCUGCCCACAGAGGCCGGAUUCGGCUUCAGCUCUGCGCCAGGCGAACAGAGAGGGUUUGGAGCUGGGUGAGGAGUUGUGGGCUUGCAAAUCGGCUGCUCUCAGGAUGAAGCCUGAUGACGACACGUCUUGUCCGGCAAGUACGAGUUUCAGAAGUGGAGGGAUGAGGCGCCUGCAGGUUCUGUGCAGUCAGCGGUCCCAUCCCUCCGUCCCACGCUUACCACGUGCUCCUGGCCACCUCUUAGUUCAGGAUCCUAAGAUUCUAUUCCGAUUCCUAUUUGAAAGAUAAGGAGGCCCAAGACGGAGAGGAGAUCUGAAACAAGCCAGCAAACACAAGCUAUCUCCUCCUCUGCCCUGGCCAUCGCUGCCUGCUGGCCUGGAGGCAUCUGUCAGAGAGGUGCUUUUGGCCUAGGCCUCUCCAUAUUUUGUACGUCUUUAUAGCCAUCACCCCAUUUUCUGUGUAUUUGCUGUCCUGUAUCUGCCUUGAACAGUGAGCUCCUGAAAAUCAGGGACUUCAGCUUCACAUCCUCACCGCCUGCCAUGGUGCCCAGCAUGUGGUCUGUGUGGUCACCCUAAUGUACCUACUGCUCUACCAAGUCUGCACCAAGACAGGGUGGAGCAUGGAAAAAGAGACAAUUCCCUGAGCCUGGAAGGAGCAAAGCUGAGCUUGUCUCCAGAGGAUCAGGGACACACUCCCCAGCGGUGUAGCGGCCUUCAGGACGCAUGGGGGCCCCGUGCUGGCCGUACCCCAAGCCCCCGGUGAGGCAUGGAGGCACCAGCACGCCUGUGACCAGUGACUGCCCCAGCUCACUGCUACGGCGGACCCCAACUUUGGGGAGGGGCUGCAACAAUGUGUUUAAGUGUCCCCAAAUCCUUGGAUCGAAUCACAAUUGGAUUAUUUUUAGGAAAAUAAAGAACUCGAAAUUC